AGUGAACGCUGGCGGCAGGCCUAACACAUGCAAGUCGAGCGGCAGCGGGUCCUUCGGGAUGCCGGCGAGCGGCGGACGGGUGAGGAAUGCGUCGGAAUCUGCCUUUUUGUGGGGGAUAACGUAGGGAAACUUACGCUAAUACCGCAUACGACCUACGGGUGAAAGUGGGGGACCGCAAGGCCUCACGCAGAAAGAUGAGCCGACGUCGGAUUAGCUAGUUGGCGGGGUAAAGGCCCACCAAGGCGACGAUCCGUAGCUGGUCUGAGAGGAUGAUCAGCCACACUGGAACUGAGACACGGUCCAGACUCCUACGGGAGGCAGCAGUGGGGAAUAUUGGACAAUGGGCGCAAGCCUGAUACAGCCAUGCCGCGUGUGUGAAGAAGGCCUUCGGGUUGUAAAGCACUUUUGUCCGGAAAGAAAUCCUGUCGGCUAAUACCCGGCGGGGAUGACGGUACCGGAAGAAUAAGCACCGGCUAACUUCGUG
rnacentral:rRNA from 1 species